GACGAACGCUGGCGGCAUGCUUAACACAUGCAAGUCGAACGAAAACGCCCGGCUUUUUUGCGCUCCUGUGCGUGCGGACGGGGAAGUAGCACGUAAGUAACCUGCCCUUGACUGUGGGAGAACUUCAUGACACUGAAGCUAAUACCAGAUAGGAUCUCCUGCUGCUGGGUGGGGGUGGGAAAGUUUCGGCGGUUGGGGAUGGACUAGCGGCUUAUCAGCUUGAUGGUGGGGUAGUGGCUUACCAAGGCUUGGACGGGUAGCCGGGCUGAGAGGGUGACCGGACACAUUGGGACUGAGAUACGGCACAGCCUCCUAUGGGAGGCAGGAGAGGGGAAUAUUACACAAUGGGCGGAAGGCUGAUGCAGCCACGCCGCGUGGGGGAUGACGGGCAUCGGGUAGGAAACCGCUUCCGCCUUUGACGAAGCGUGAGUGACGGUACUGGGUAAAGAAGCACCGGCUAACUCCGUG
rnacentral:rRNA from 1 species